UACGGAGGGUGCGAGCGUUAAUCGGAAUUACUGGGCGUAAAGGGUGCGUAGGUGGUUUUAUAAGUUAACUGUGAAAUUCCUGGGCUUAACCUGGGGUGGUCAGUUAAUACUGUGAGACUUGAGUAUAGGAGAGGGUAGUGGAAUUUCCGGUGUAGCGGUGAAAUGCGUAGAGAUCGGAAGGAACACCGGUGGCGAAGGCGGCUACCUGGCCUGAUACUGACACUGAGGCACGAAAGCGUGGGGAGCAAACAGG
rnacentral:rRNA from 1 species